UACGAGCAAAGAACUUGGUGGA
rnacentral:siRNA from 1 species